rnacentral:rRNA from 1 species
CGCAGUAUUUUAACUGUGCUUAGGUAGCAUAAUAAUUUGUCUUUUAAAUGGGGACUUGUAUAAAAGAAUAAAUAAAAUUUUAUCUUUAUUAGAUAUAUAAACUGAAAUUAGAUCACUCGUUAUAAUACUUGUUUACAUUUCUGGGACGAGAAGACCCUAAGAGUUUAAAUUUAUAAUGUUUUUUGGGGCAAAAUUUUAUUAAUAAAUUUAAGAUCCUUAUUUUAAGAAAAUGUGCUAACUACCUUAGGGAUAACAGCAUAAUCUUUUUUGCUAGUUCUUAUAAAUAAAAAGGUUUG